CGGAUGGGUGAGUAACACGUGGGUAACCUGCCCUAAAGUCUGGGAUACCACUUGGAAACAGGUGCUAAUACCGGAUAACAACAAUAGCUGCAUGGCUAUUGCUUAAAAGGCGGCGAAAGCUGUCGCUAAAGGAUGGACCCGCGGUGCAUUAGCUAGUUGGUAAGGUAAUGGCUUACCAAGGCGACGAUGCAUAGCCGAGUUGAGAGACUGAUCGGCCACAUUGGGACUGAGACACGGCCCAAACUCCUACGGGAGGCAGCAGUAGGGAAUCUUCCACAAUGGGCGAAAGCCUGAUGGAGCAACGCCGCGUGAGUGAAGAAGGUUUUCGGAUCGUAAAGCUCUGUUGUUGGUGAAGAAGGAUAGAGGUAGUAACUGGCCCCUAUUUGACGGUAAUCAACCAGAAAGUCACGGCUAACUACGUGCCAGCAGCCGCGGUAAUACGUAGGUGGCAAGCGUUGUCCGGAUUUAUUGGGCGUAAAGCGAGCGCAGGCGGAAAGAUAAGUCUGAUGUGAAAGCCCCCGGCUUAACCGAGGAAUUGCAUCGGAAACUGUGUUUCUUGAGUGCAGAAGAGGAGAGUGGAACUCCAUGUGUAGCGGUGGAAUGCGUAGAUAUAUGGAAGAACACCAGUGGCGAAGGCGGCUCUCUGGUCUGUAA
rnacentral:rRNA from 1 species